AUGAGCCACGGCAACAAGAGCUCGCAGCUUUACCUGCGCCUGGUGGAGACCUCGCUCUAAGGAGAAAGGAUCCUGGGUUAUGCUGAGGAGCCCUGCUAUCUCUGGUUUGUCAUGGAGUUCUGUGAAGGUGGAGACCUGAAUCAGUACGUCCUGUCCCGGAGACCGGACCCAGCCACCAACAAAAGCUUCAUGCUACAACUCACAAGCGCCAUUGCCUUCCUGCACAAAAACCACAUCGUGCACAAGGACCUAAAGCCAGACAACAUCCUCAUCACAGAGCGAUCUGGCACCCCCAUCCUCAAGGUGGCAGAUUUCGGACUAAGCAAGGUCUGUGCUGGGCUGGCACCCCGAGGCAAAGAAGGCAAUCAAGACAACAAAAAUGUGAAUGUGAAUAAAUAUUGGCUGUCCUCAGCCUGCGGCUCAGACUUCAACAUGGCUCCUGAAAUCUGGGAGGGACACUACACGGCCAAGGCGGACAUCUUUGCCCUGGGCAUUAUCAUCUGGGCAAUGAUAGAAAGAAUCACUUUUAUUGACUCUGAGACCAAGAAGGAGCUCCUGGGGACCUAUAUUAAACAGGGGACUGAGAUCGUCCCUGUUGGUGAGGCGCUGCUAGAAAACCCAAAGAUGGAGUUGCACAUCCCCCAGAAACGCAGGACUUCCAUGUCUGAGGGGAUCAAGCAGCUCUUGAAAGAUAUGUUAGCUGCUAACCCACAGGACCGGCCUGAUGCCUUUGAACUUGAAACCAGAAGUUUCAAGUUCUGGUUGAACUUGAACCUGUCUUUUCAUUGA